CACACGCCUCUCACUCCCAUCCUCUCGCAAAGACGGACGACCCACGCCCCCACACUGUGCCGAACUUUCGAAGAACCCCUUCGACGAAAACCCCUCCGGCAAAGAGCCCUUCCUUGGAAUAACCCCUCCGCUGUAGAACGCUGUCGACCCGACUCCUCUGCUGAAGAACUCGAAGAACCACGACCCCUCCGCCGAAGAACUUGAAGAAUGUCGUCGACCCACGACCCCUGCGUCGAAAAACGUCGAAGAACGCCUCUGCCGAAGAACCCCUCCGCCGAAUCAAGGGGCUGUAUUAUACAAAAUUGGAGAGAAUUGAAGCAGGGCUAAGAAGAGCAGGAGCCGGCAUUAGAGAAGCUAAGUUCCUUAAUCAAACACAAAAUCCUGACUUCGUUCCUUCUUGUCCAAUCUAUUGGAAUUCUAAAGCAUUCCACAGGUAAUGGAGGUUGAUUCAUCAAAAGAGAAUGCGGAUAUGCAAGGUCAUACUACAAGGGCUGAUGGUGGGUGAGGAUCCUUGAUUUGAGACUACUCUAACUCUUGACGAAGACUAAAUUGCUCAUUACUUUGAGCUUUGAAUUUGAUGUAAAUAAUCUAAGCCGUUAGUGUUUUGUAACUGUGGCUCACACUUCCACUGCCGCAUUGCACUCUACACACCAAAUCAGAAACCAAACAAAAUCUAUGGGUGAAUCAGUCGGGUUCUUCACUUCUAUGGGUGAACAAAGAAAUCAGAGAUGGAGAAGAAGUCAAAGUUGAAUGAAUGGUAGGAAAAAAACAUUUUUUUUCUUCAUGAGGCAAAUGAAAAUGACAUUAGAGAAAUUAAAGGCUGUGAGGUGAAGAUGAGGUUUAGAAAUGUGGGAAGUCUUUUUUCUAAUUAGCUUCAAGAAAUUGUCUCUCUCAAGUAUCUGAUAACAUUCAUUCUUAUGUAGCUUUUAUAUAUUAUGUUAUUGAUUUUUUUUUUUUUUUUUGUUGAUUAUUACACUUUGUUGGUUGAUAAACCUUCAUUUUGCACGCAGGAGAAAAAUAAUUGAAAAGGAAAAAGGAUUUGAAGAAAGCUUUGAAGCUGCAGGUAAAGGUAGAUGAUCUGAAAAGCUGGCGAGAGACAGGAAGGGUUCAUGAUAUGUCAUAUGGAAACUCAGUUUUGGCUCUAUGUCUAUGUAUCAAUUUUCAAUAUUUUGGUUUUAGAAAAAACUUAUUUAAAGUUU